rnacentral:rRNA from 1 species
UACGUAGGGGGCGAGCGUUGUCCGGAUUCAUUGGGCGUAAAGGGUGCGUAGGCGGCGCGGUAAGUCGGGUGUGAAAUUUCGAGGCUUAACUUCGAAACUGCAUUCGAUACUGCCGUGCUUGAGGACUGGAGAGGAGACUGGAAUUUACGGUGUAGCGGUGAAAUGCGUAGAUAUCGUAAGGAAGACCAGUGGCGAAGGCGGGUCUCUGGACAGUUCCUGACGCUGAGGCACGAAGGCCAGGGGAGCAAACGGG